UGGGGAAUUUUGGACAAUGGGCGAAAGCCUGAUCCAGCAAUGCCGCGUGUGUGAAGAAGGCCUUCGGGUUGUAAAGCACUUUUGUCCGGAAAGAAAUCCUUGGCUCUAAUACAGUCGGGGGAUGACGGUACCGGAAGAAUAAGCACCGGCUAACUACGUGCCAGCAGCCGCGGUAAUACGUAGGGUGCAAGCGUUAAUCGGAAUUACUGGGCGUAAAGCGUGCGCAGGCGGUUUGCUAAGACCGAUGUGAAAUCCCCGGGCUCGACCUGGGAACUGCAUUGGUGACUGGCAGGCUAGAGUAUGGCAGAGGGGGGUAGAAUUCCACGUGUAGCAGUGAAAUGCGUAGAGAUGUGGAGGAAUACCGAUGGCGAAGGCAGCCCCCUGGGCCAAUACUGACGCUCAUGCACGAAAGCGUGGGGAGCAAACAGGAUUAGAUACCCUGGUAGUCCACGCCCUAAACGAUGUCAACUAGUUGUUGGGGAUUCAUUUCCUUAGUAACGUAGCUAACGCGUGAAGUUGACCGCCUGGGGAGUACGGUCGCAAGAUUAAAACUCAAAUGAAUUGACGGGGUCAUAGCUGUUUCCU
rnacentral:rRNA from 1 species